rnacentral:hammerhead_ribozyme from 1 species
AUCCAUUUGACGAGUCUCAAAUAGGACGAAACCAACGUUCUGGAU